rnacentral:lncRNA from 1 species
CCCGACGGACAGACGACGAGCGAAGAGCUACGGAACAGGACCUGGAGACGCUAGCGUUGGACGAACGCGAGGAGGGCCUUCGAGCACGACAAACCAGGAGGAUUGGCAAACGACCACCACGAACCAAGCAGCGACGGUGAGACGAGCGGUAGCGCUAUGGAGGCUAGGGUUUUCAAGGAAGACUUGGAUGGAACUAUGGAGGUUAGUGGGUGGACGGAGCAAGUGAUGCGAUUCUGAGGGAGUGAGGGAGGACUGAGGAGCUCGAGAGGAAGGAAAUG